rnacentral:tRNA from 1 species
GCCUGGGUGGCUCAAUUGGUUAAGCGUCUGACUUUGGUUCAGGUCGUGAUCUCACGGUUUGUGAGUCUGAGCCUCACACUGGGCU